AAACUGAGGAUAAUACUGGAUAGGCAAUUAUUCCUGCAAUGGUUUUUUGUUUAAAUGUUUUUUCGCCUAAGGAUGGGUCUGCGGCCGAUUAGGUAGUUGGUUAGGUAAUGGCUUACCAAGCCAUUGAUCGGUACGGGUUGUGAGAGCAAGAGCCCGGAGAUGGAACCUGAGACAAGGUUCCAGGCCCUACGGGGUGCAGCAGGCGCGAAACCUCCGCAAUGUGAGAAAUCGCGACGGGGGGGAUCCCAAGUGCCAUUCUUAACGGGAUGGCUUUUCAUUAGUGUAAAGAGCUUUUGGAAUAAGAGCUGGGCAAGACCGGUGCCAGCCGCCGCGGUAACACCGGCAGCUCUAGUGGUAGCAGUUUUUAUUGGGCCUAAAGCGUCCGUAGCCGGUUUAAUAAGUCUCUGGUGAAAUCCUGUAGCUUAACUGUGGGAAUUGCUGGAGAUACUAUUAGACUUGAGAUCGGGAGAGGUUAGAGGUACUCCCAGGGUAGAGGUGAAAUUCUGUAAUCCUGCGAGGACCGCCUGUUGCGAAGGCUUCUAACUGGAACGAUUCUGACGGUGAGGGACGAAAGUUAGGGGCGCGAACCGGAUUAGAUUACCGGGUAGUCCUAACUGUAAACGAUGCGGACUUGGUG
rnacentral:rRNA from 1 species